CCUGGUCAUUCACAGAUGAGUGUAAAUUAGUUCAAUGGGUUGUUUUUCUCCCAACACGUAGCUGGGACUAACAAAUUUAGAGAUUUAUUCAUUCAUUCAACAUUGAGUGUCUAAGAAGUUCCAGGCCUUGUUCUAGGUGCUGGAGAUACAGUAAUGAACAAAACAGAACAAUGUUUCUGCCCUCUUGGAGUGUACAGCCUAAUCAGUUGGUAGUUUUGAUUUAGUGCUGAGAGAAAAUGGUAACUUUGGAGUCUGAGCCCUUGGGGAAUAGGACAGGCUUGAGUUCAUUGUAGCCAGAGGGCAGUGGAAACGUACAAGGGGCCUGGAGGUGGGCCUAGAAGUGGGUGCCCCCAGAAAGCUGUUGAGAAAAAUUCCAGAGACAACUUGGCCUGUUACAAAAAAGGUUUUCUAGGCCCCAUGAAAUGAAUGAAAACAGUUUCCUCUAAGAACUCAGACUAACGCUAACUGACCUGUAAUUUGGCUGCAUUACUGCUUAGACAAAUAAAUAUUUGUCUCUGUUUGGAAACAUAGUCAUAAUGUAUCAACCUCUAAUACCCAAACUUCAGAACACCCUCAGUUUAAAACUAUCUGCUUUUCCCUAUCUGCUCUUCCAAAUCAUUAAAAUCAGCUUACACAAAUCAAUUACACUAAUUCCAGUGUUGAGGACUUACUUGAUGCAUUUUUGGAACUCAUCUUUUGAAACUGUGUUCAGAACCAAUUUGCAAGUCAUAGAAAAUAACUCUCUUUAGUGCCCAAUUUCUUUUUUUCCACUAAAAACUAUAUUAUUCUACUUUAUCGUUUACCAAAUUUGUGUCCAAAUGAUUUUGGCAAGCUCCAGACAGUAUAUUUUGCCUUUAAAUGAUGAAGAUGGACUGUCAUUGAAAAUAUAUAGAAUUUAAAUAGUAUACAUGAUAGCUAUUCACAAAGUUUUAAAAAUUUGACUUGUAAUAAAUUCUGAGUAAAGUAUUUUUAAUCCAUAAAAUUAAGAAAAAGAAAGAAAAGAUAGAGAAAAAUAAAACUAUAGUUAUUCAGAGGGCUAUAAAUGCUGAAGAAAGCACCAAAAAGAGAAAUCUGAAAAGCAUUUCCUGCAUCACUGGAAGGACAGCAUAACCUUCCUGGGUGAUGUUUUCAUGGGGGAAAGAAUCUGGCUGGAUAUGGAAGUUCAGCCUCCAUAUUCCACUGGUAAUGGACCCGGUUGCUACUGCCUUUGCAGGCAACUGUCCAGACUGGAAAGGUGAAGAUAUCAGGUGAAAAGAAAGUCACUAGGGCUACGAUCAGGCCACUGCUGGCUCCCAAAGACAGCAUGGUUAGCUAAGUUUUAGCAAACAUUGAUUGAAUGCCUACUAUAUGGCUAACUCUCUCUUAGCCUCGGAGGACACAGUUAGCUCCCUGUUCACACGGAGCUCGUGCUUGGUGGCAGCAUAAAGAAGGGAGUGAUUCUUGCUGCCGGGACAGCAGAGCAGCCUUCCUAGAAGAAGGGAGGCUUGAGGAUUUCCUCAGAACAAAGAGAGCAGGACAGAUGACCAUGAGGUCCAGUUGUUUCAAAGCCUAGUGAGCACGGGUCAUUGCAAGUGGUUCCAUACUGAGUGGAACACGGAGGGCGGUUCCUGCUCAGUCUUCUCUGACUGACCCCCCAGGGUGGGUUGGCUGUCCUCUCGUUCACCCAUCUCCAUCAAUACUGGUUUACAUUAAAUUAUAAUUCAUUCCUGGGACUUCCCUGCCAGUAAUUAAGACUCCGUGCUUCAAAUGCAGGGGGCGUGGGUUUGAUCCCUGGUCGGGGAACUAUGAUCCCACAUGCUGCGCAGCACGGCCUAAAUAAAUAAAUCAUUCAUUCAUUCAUUCCUGUCUUGUCUUCUCACUGGGUUGUGAGCUACUUGGGGGCAAUGGCUAUACCUUGUCCUUUGGCAUCCCCAGGUGGCCCAGAGCCCUCGCACAAGUGGCAGGGUGGGGAGGUAGUAGAUGAGACUGGAGAAGUAGACAGGGCCAAGGAGACGUCUUGACUGCGCCCCAAAGGUGCUGGGGGCUCAUUGAAGAGUUCAGCAAGAGAGUCACACAUCAGAUCCUUACUUUGAAAGAUCUCUGUGAUGGGGCAGACUGUGGGAAACGAGAAGCAGGGAGAGAAGAGAGGAGACACUCAUGAGGCAAGAGAAGGGGAGAAAUAAAAGAAAUUACCCACAUCUUGUAUUCUUAUUAUUUUUCAGACUCAAGACAUUCCAGGCAAAGCAGCGCUGCACGACCACUUCGCCCUGUGGUGGAGGAAGGGGCGCUCUGUCUGGAAGGAGCACUGUUGGGGGCCAUGGGGGCAGUGGUUCCAACAUGACCCUGCCGCCCACCUGGAACGAAGCAUUUGCUUCUUCUCCCCUCAGUUACUGGCUCCAACUUCCGUGACUUACCACCAGACUCAUCCUAAGUCAUGUCGAGCAACACCUAAACUCUCUCAUCUCUAUUUCUAGACUGACAAAUGGAAUUCAUGGUGCUAACUUAGACAAUUAUAAGAUAUUUUUACAAAACAUUAAAAGUGGGGAAAUACAGUGUUUUAUUCAUUCAAUAGUUAUUGAGCACUUGCUGUGCAUCACACACUGUGCUGGGUGCUAUGAAAAUAAAAAUAAAGCCACCCCUGCCCUGGAGGAGCUCUCUGAAUCUAUUAGGGGUGACAAACAUUUAAGCCUGUCAGUACAAUUAAAAUGUGUACAAUCGUGGUACUAUUGGGUACCUGGUUGCUCAGAAGAAGAGGCGCCUCAUUUUGCUUCUGCCCAGAGAGGCAGGGGAGGCUUCACAGAGGAUAUGACAUUUAAUCUGAGUCUUCAAGGACUCUGCAGAUGGCAGGGGUGGGGAGGUACACCAGGCAGGAAAACUGUCUGAGACAUCCAUGGGGCAGAUGGCUAGUGUCGGCGCUGCAAGUAAUUUGGCUCGGAGCACAGCGUACACAGGGAAAGGGCGGAAAAUGAGAAUGGAAAUAAAAGUAGGGCCAGGUCAGAAAGGGUUUAGUAGCAUAUUAAGAAAUCUUUCCCUUAUUCCGUAGGUGAUUGUCAGCAGGAAAAUGAUCAGGACAAAUAUGGAUGUCCUGGCCAAAUCUCAGAGCAGGGAGGCAAUGAGUAGACGUUGGUGAUAGUCAAAGUAUAACGUGAUGAGGCCCUUGACCAGGGCAGCAUUCAAGGUGAUGGAGAUAAAGCAAUAAAUGUGAGAGACAUUUAGGUGACAUACUUGAUAAGAUUUGGUGAAUGACUGAUUGUCGAUGAGUGGAUGAAAGGGAGGAGAUGAAGAUUCACUUCUAAGUUCCCUCCUUGAGUGACUGGUAAGUACAUGCAUCAUUAUCCAAGGUAAGGAAUAAGCGGAACGUAGUUUGUGGAAGAACGACACAGUGCUUUGGUGUGUGAAUUAGAGGUGCUCUGUGGAAUAUUUAAACGGGGAUGUCCAUUAAGUAAGAGAUGGGAACUUAGAAGAUUGAUCUGGUUUAGAAAUGUAGGUGUAAGAAUUACGAGGUAUGAAUGGUACUUAAAUCCAUUGGAAUGGAUGUUUGGGAAAAUAUGCAACAUUGGAGGAAAGCAGGAUGACAACAGGAAUCUUUAAAAUACCAGGUUUUCUCGGUUGUUUAUCAUUGUAUAUCAAACCACCCCAGACCUUAGUGGCUUAAAACAAAAAGGUAUUAUUUAUGUGAUGGGUUAUCUGGAGUUGGGCUCAGCUGGAAAAACCUGGGGUAGUUGACAUUCUCUCUCUCUCUCUCUCUCUCUAUCUCUCUCUCCCUCUCUUCACUUGGUCUUUCAUCUUUUUUCUUUUUUUUCUUUCAUCUUAGUCAUCCAGAAAACAAGGAAGUUCCUGAGGAGUGUUCCAAGAAGGCAAACCCCACUACACAAGCCUUAUCGAGCCUCUGCUGACUUCAUGUUUGCUGACGUUCCACUGGCCGAAGCGAGUCACAUGGUGCAGCCCAGGCUCAACGCCAAGGGAGCCCAGUGGAGUGAUUCACUGGGACCAUUACUUAUCCAUGUAAAACACAUGUUACAAGAUGGGCAGAAAAAAUAUUUAAGGGGGACAUCAAAAGAGAAGCCAUUGGAGAAAACAUAUGAAGAUUUGUCUGAAAGAAAGAGUAAGACAUCAAGGAAGCAGAGUUUCUAGAAGGGAAGGGGCAAUAGUGCCAAUUGUCACAGAGAGAACAGUGGUUAAUCAUCUACUGAAAUUGAAAUGCUCAUGAAUGGCCAAGAGAUCUGAGGCAAGGGUUUAACUUUUGGAACAGUCUCCACGGGGAAGAAAGAAGCUGUGAAAAGAAAGUAAAAGAACCCUCCCUGAGUCCUGAGAGUCCUUGAGUCCUGAGCUGAGACUGCAGAGGCACCAACUUGUUACGCAACUUUCUUACGUGAUGUUCCACCCUGGGGAAAAGGAGUAUGAAUGGAGAAUUUCGAGGUUCACUAGUCGUUGUUGUCUGUGGAGACACAGACCCAGGCCACAUAACGAGCAGGGUUCCCAGGGACCAGAUGAGGAAUCUGAGGCUUGAGAGGUUGCCCUGCUGUGAAUGACAAAGGUGGGAUCCAAACCCAGGUCUUCUCAACCCCAAAGAGAAAUCCAACAACUGCGAAAAGAUGCCUUGCCUUUGUCAUGAUCUGCUGCGAACUGAACUCCUUUACAUCCAAUUGUGUACACUCUCCUCUGCUCUAAAGGGAGAAAAGUCACAUUUGACAGACAAGUCUGCACCCUGAUUUUUACAAGAUCUUCUUUAGGCUGCAGCUCUGGAUAAGACGGACUUGAGAAUGAUGCAACCAAUUAUGACGAAUGCCUUCUCCUGGGUGGAAACACAAGCUACUCUCUGCUCACUGCUCCACAGAGAAAUACGGUAGUCAUGUGAACCCGCCCAUCCAGUACAGCCCUCAGAUUCGUGAGAGGUUGGUUCAGGACCAGCACCUAGUACAGUGCCUGACACAGAGGAGGCACGUGACAACUGUUUACGGAAUGAGUGUUGCAUUUAAGGUACUAGGAUGGCCGGAUACAGAAAGGCAGGAAUCAUUAAAAAAAAAAAAAAAUUCUGUGUACUUGAAUCUGAAAGGAGAAACAUUCUUAAUUUUAUCUUAAUUUGUAAUUUAACAGAGUUAACUUCCUCCAAAGUAAUUACUUGUUAAUAUGUUUCUAAUGUGACGGAGUUGCUGUACUGGGGCUUUUCAUUUAGAAAGCUAGCAAGACUCUAUGUUAACCGUCUCCUAAGUGCCCCUCUCAGCAGUUUCUCUGGAUGUCAUUCCACAUACUGACUUCAGUUCCCAGGCAGAGCUUCCUGGGAUCGAAAUGGCAGGAGCUGAGUGGACCCAAGGCUGCACACCACCCACCGGGUCCCUGUCCUCCCAGGGCUGUUGUAGGGCCCUCACAAGCCACUGCCCUUGAGUCACUCCUGAGUCACCUGGGUUGAAAGUCACAGAAGUAUGGCUACAUGUGUUUCACCAACAGUCUACUUCUUUUUUUUUUUUUUUUUUUGCAGUACGCGGGCCUCUCACUGUUGUGGCCUCUUCCGUUGCGGAGCACAGGCUCCGGACGCGCAGGCUCAGCGGCCGUGGCUCACGGGCCCAGCCGCUCCGCGGCAUGUGGGAUCUUCCCGGACCGGGGCACGAACCCGUGUCCCCUGCAACGGCAGGCGGACUCUCAACCACUACGCCACCAGGGAAGCCCCAGCCUACUUCUUUAUUGCCUCUCUCAGGAAAAGAAAAUGUAAUAUUAGCAGACCUCUCUCACCAAGGGUCAGAUAGUCCACGUGAGCUCAGAGCGGGUACAGAUCAAGGCACCGGAACAAAAAUGACUACGUUGGGGAAGCAAUACCACGUUCUACAAUAAUAUACAUUUCCCUUGCCUCAUAUCUUUUAUAAAUAGUGGUAAAAUAUAUAUCAUAUCAUUUGAACCAGUUUUAAGUGUGCAAGCCAGGGGCAUUAAGUACAUUCACAAUGUUAUGCAGCUAUCAGCUCCAUCCAUCUCUAGAACCUUUUCAUCACCCCAAACAGAAACUCUGUCCCCACUAAACAUUAACUCCCCAUUCUCCCCUUCCUGGUAACUUCCAUUCCACCCUCUGUCCCCAUCAACUGGCCAAGUCCAGGUGCCUCAUGUAAGUGGACUUAUAUCUGUCCUUUUGUGUCUGGCUUACUUCACUUAGCACAAUGUUUGCAAAGUUCAUCCAUGUUGUAGCUUGUGUUAGAAUUUCCUUGCUUUUUAAGACUGAAUAACAUUGCAUUGUAUAUAUAGACACACUUUUUUAAAUUUUUAUUUUAUUUUUUUAUACAGCAGGUUCUUAUUAGUUGUCUAUUUUAUACAUAUUAGUGUAUACAUGUCAAUCCCAAUCUCCCAAUUCAUCCCACCACUGCCGCCCCCGCCCUGCCAUUCCCCCCUUGGUGUCCAUACGUUUGUUCUCUACAUCUGUGUCUCUAUUUCUGCCCUGCAAACCGGUUCAUCUGUACCAUCUUUCUAGGUUCCAUAUAUAUGCGUUAAUAUACGAUAUUUGUUUUUCUCUUUCUGACUUGCUUCACUCCGCAUGACAGUCUCUAGAUUCAUCCACAUCUCUACAAAUGACCCAACUGCGUUCCUUUUUAUGGCUGAGUAAUAUUCCAUUGUAUAUAUGUGCCACAUCUUCUUUAUCCAUUCACCUGUCAAUGGGCAUCUAGGUUGCUUCCAUGACCUGGCUAUUGUAAACAGUGCUGCAGUGAACAUUGGGGUGCAUGUUAGACACACUUUCUUUAUCCUUUCCUCUGUCGACGGAAACUUGGACUGUUUCCACCUUGUAGCUGUUAUGCAUAACGCAUCUACGAAGAUGGGCGUAGCCUCAUCUUUUUUUAAGACAAAGACCCCUCCAGCGGAGGUCCUGGCACUUUGUAACUCCUCCUUGCCUGAGAGCGCUUCAAGCCAGUUCCUUCACCCACUGCCUGGUGAAGGCCUCACCCGCCAUGAGCAGAACAGAGACUGGCUCCCAAGUGCACUGCCGCGCUCUCUCCUUGGGGUGCUUCUCUUGGUCCUGCAGAUUCCCUGCUCCUGACUCUGGACGUGGGGCCUUGGCAGGAUCCAGUGCCUCCCUGGAAGCCCCGCCACAGGCUCAGGCCCCCUCAGCCCCAUCUUCAUCAGCUGAGACCUAGUAUAUGUCAAGGUCAAGCCUAAACCAUGGCAAAUGCCAGUGAAAGAUGGAUGUGGUUUGAGUGGCCAGUGCUAUAAGACUUUCCCAAGUUACUCCUUAAACAUUUGUAUAAAGUAGAAUUACUUUCUGCUUGACUAUUUACUGAUAAAAGUUGACAAUCAGUUAUUUAUUAAGCUUUUCCUGUGUGGAAGGUACCAUACUCUGGAUCUGUGGAGGACUAUACUAAUGUGGUCAUGUCCCUUCCAUUGCCCUCCGAAAGAGUACAUUUAAUCAGAGAGGUAUGGGCCAUGAUGGCGUAACUAAUCAAAUAAAUUAGGGUUUAUCUUUACUAUAGAAGCUGCACAGGUAUUAGAAAGAAUGAGGUAGAUAUGUAUGUACUGAUGUGCUAUAAUCUCCAAGCUAUAUUGUUGUAUGAAAAAAAAAAGUCUAGGGACCUCCCUGGCCGUCCAGUGGUUAAGACUCUGCACUUCCACUGCAGGGGCCGAGGGUUCGAUCCCUGGUCAGGGAACUAAGAUCCCUCAAGCCAUGUGGCGUCACCAGAAUGAAAGAGUCUAGAUGCAGAAGAGUGUAUACGGUAUGUUCACAGCCGCAGAAAAAAGCACAGAAGGAUUUAUAAGUGCACACAUAUAUACAUAUAUGUACCUAUAUGUGUGCAUAUAUGUACAUUCAUGUGUGUGUUUAUAAAUUCAUAGGUGUGUCUGGAAUGAUACACAAAGGACUAGCAAUAGCCGUUGUCUCUGAGGCAACUGUGGAUGGCAAAUACCUUUUUCCUGUGCAACUGUCUUGUACUGUUUGAAUUUUCCACUGUGUGCACAAGUUGCCUUCAAAUUUUAAAAAAAUGUUUAUAAAACUAACAAUAAAAGAGAGUGCAUGGGAAGUAGUAAAUGAGUAGUGUACAAACAACACGAAAGGCUCUCAGAGGAAGGAAAGCUUGCUCUAGGCUGCAGCAGUCAGGACGGUUCAUGGGGGAGGAGAGGACAUUUGA